rnacentral:lncRNA from 1 species
CAUCAGCUCAGUAGUCAGUAUUUCGGUACUGACAUGAUUUAACAAACUUAACUUAAAUUGUCCGUUUAUAAAUUUAUAAAUUAUUUAGAAACUAAGGCUUCAACUCCCUCAGUCAAAGUUGGCUUUAGAUGAAUUUGGCUAUUUAUUUUAGGUAUUUUUGACAUAUACGAUAUAGCUCUUCAACGGUUUCGGUACUUAUACAUCUUCGAAUUUCAAAUGUUUGGCUUUGAG